rnacentral:rRNA from 1 species
CACGUAGGGCGCAAGCGUUGUCCGGAAUUAUUGGGCGUAAGAGCUCGUAGGCGGCCUGUCGCGUCUGCUGUGAAAUCCCGGGGCUUAACCCCGGGCGUGCAGUGGAUACGGGCUGGCUGGAGGCAGGCAGGGGAGAAUGGAAUUCCCGGUGUAGCGGUGAAAUGCGCAGAUAUCGGGAGGAACACCGGUGGCGAAGGCGGCUCUCUGGAACGGUACUGACGCUGAGACGCGAAAGCGUGGGGAGCGAACGAG